AUUGAACGCUGGCGGCAGGCCUAACACAUGCAAGUCGAACGAGUGGCGGACGGGUGAGUAAUGUCUGGGAAACUGCCCGAUGGAGGGGGAUAACUACUGGAAACGGUAGCUAAUACCGCAUACCAUCGGAUGUGCCCAGAUGGGAUUAGCUUGUAGGUGAGGUAACGGCCCACCUAGGCGACGAUCUCUAGCUGGUCUGAGAUGAUGAACAGCCACACUGGAACGGAGACACGGUCCAGACUCUUACGGGAGGCAGCAGUGGGUAAUAUUGGAAAAUGUGAGCAAGCCUGAUGAAGCCAUGCCGCGUGUAUGAAGAAGGCCUUCGGGUUGUAAAGUACUUUCAGCGGGGAGGCGUUACCCGCAGAAGAAGCACCGGCUAACUCCGUGCCAGCAGCCGCGGUAAUAC
rnacentral:rRNA from 1 species